UAUAUUUUUCUAAAAAUAUUUUGGAUAAUUACCACUAUUCUUAGAACAGAAAACGCCUUGCCAAGCACAUUCAAGCCAUUCAAAAGAACCAGUAGAUUGUUAUAGCGCUAUUCACGUUAGAGCAUUCUAAGUGGUGUCUGAGUUUCUAUUUUAUUCUUAUGGCUUAUAAUAUUUUGUUUUUAUCCCAAUAUGCUGAAAUUGCAGUUUAUUCCUGAGGGAUAUUAAGCCGCCCGCCGCGCUUCUCCAUACUUCUCCAUACGAAAUUGCCCGCUUCCUGUUUACCGUGUGCUUAACUUCUUUUUAUACGUUUAUGUUACGAAUAAACAACUUUUUUUAGAGAUAUGUUGUGGUAUGAAACCU